rnacentral:sRNA from 1 species
GAUGAAGUCGCUCACACAGUCACCGAGAGCCGAGUCCUCCAGAACACCAGGCACCCGUUCCUCACUGCGCUGAAGUACGCCUUCCAGACCCACGACCGCCUGUGCUUUGUGAUGGAGUAUGCCAACGGGGGUGAGCUGUUCUUCCACCUGUCCCGGGAGCGUGUCUUCACAGAGGAGCGGGCCCGGUUUUAUGGUGCAGAGAUUGUCUCGGCUCUUGAGUACUUGCACUCACGGGACGUGGUAUACCGCGACAUCAAGCUGGAAAACCUCAUGCUGGACAAAGAUGGCCACAUCAAGAUCACUGACUUUGGCCUCUGCAAAGAGGGCAUCAGUGACGGGGCCACCAUGAAAACCUUCUGUGGGACCCCGGAGUACCUGGCGCCUGAGGGCCACGGGCCCAGCCCUCAUUUCUCCUCCAUCCUCAGGUGCUGGAGGACAAUGACUAUGGCCGGGCCGUGGACUGGUGGGGGCUGGGUGUGGUCAUGUACGAGAUGAUGUGCGGCCGC